UGAGGAACAUGACCUUCGGCGGGGGAUAGCCGGCCCAACGGCCGGGUAAUACCGCGUACGACCACAUGGGGACAUCCCUGAGUGGUGAAAGCAGCAAUGCGCCGAUGGAGUGCCUCGCGGCCUAUCAGCUAGUUGGUGAGGUAACGGCUCACCAAGGCAACGAUGCGUAGCCGACCUGAGAGGGUGAUCGGCCANAUUGGAACUGAGACACGGUCCAGACCUNUACGGGAGG
rnacentral:rRNA from 1 species